GUUUCAUGGUAACUCUCAUCAUCAAAUCUAACAUUAAAUUGAUAUGAUAUGUUGUGUCAACAGCUAGUCAUUGCUGGAGAUGGGUACUAAAGAUUUGGAUUUUGUAAAACUGAACCAAUUAAUUGGAAGAAAAGCUGGUGGGAUAUCAGUAUAUCCUUUAACACCAUCAGUUCGAGGGAAGGAGGAGCCCUGCAGCCAUAUUAUGUUCGAGGCAAAGCUAUGUCUGAACGUGUUGAAGAUUUAUUUACCCUGGUCAACCAUGUUCUUCAAGAUGUUCAAUUGACUGACCAGAAGUGUUUUAAGCAGUUUGUUUCUCAAAGUGAGGCAAGAAUGGAGAAUCGAUUAAGAGGCAGGGACAUAGCAUUGCAGCUGCAAGGAUGGAUGUAAAGCUCAAUGUUGCUGGUCGGAUCUCUGAAAAAAUGGGUGGUGUCAGGUUGAUUUGUUUGGAGUCUUAUUUUCACCUUUGAUAUUUGGAAAGCAUGUUGAUGUCUAUAAUAUUAUGAGAUGCAUCACCAUUUGUUAUAUGACCAAGCC